AGAGUUUGAUCCUGGCUCAGAUUGAACGCUGGCGGCAUGCCUUACACAUGCAAGUCGAACGGUAGAGGGGCAACCCUUGAGAGUGGCGAACGGGUGAGUAAUGCAUCGGAACGUGCCCAGUCGUGGGGGAUAACGCAGCGAAAGCUGUGCUAAUACCGCAUGUGAUCUGUGGAUGAAAGCAGGGGACUUGGUAGCAAUACUGGGCCUUGUGCGAUUGGAGCGGCCGAUGUCAGAUUAGCUAGUUGGUAGGGUAAAAGCCUACCAAGGCGACGAUCUGUAGCUGGUCUGAGAGGACGACCAGCCACACUGGGACUGAGACACGGCCCAGACUCCUACGGGAGGCAGCAGUGGGGAAUUUUGGACAAUGGGCGCAAGCCUGAUCCAGCAACGCCGCGUGCAGGACGAAGGCCUUCGGGUUGUAAACUGCUUUUGUACGGAGCGAAACGGUCUGGGUUAAUACCCUAGGCUAAUGACGGUACCGUAAGAAUAAGCACCGGCUAACUACGUGCCAGCAGCCGCGGUAAUAC
rnacentral:rRNA from 1 species